CGCAGGCCGAGGUCGUUCCCGAGGCGGUGUCCUUGUCCAAGGCCGUUCCUGAGGCCAUUCCCGAGGCGGUGCCCGAUGCCGAGGCCGUUCCUGAGACCGUUCCCGAGGCGGUGCCCGAUGCCGAGGUCGUUCCCGAGGCGGUGUCCUUGUCCGAUGCCGUUCCUGAGGCCAUUCCCGAGGCAGUGCCCGAUGCUGUUCCGGAGGCCGAGGCGGGGCCCGAGAUGGUUCCGGAGGCGAUACCCGUGUCCAAGGCCGUUCCCGAGGCGGUGCCCUUGUCUGAGGCCGUUCCCGAUGCCGUUCCCAAUGCCGUGACCUGGCCAUCGCCACAGCCUGCUCCUUACUGGCUCCCCGAUUGGCAGGUUCCGUUCCCGAGGCGGUGUCCUUGUCCGAUGCCGUUCCUGAGGCCAUUCCCGAGGCGGUGCCCGAUGCUGUUCCGGAGGCCGAUGCGGGGCCCGAGAUGGUUCCGGAGGCGAUACCCGUGUCCAAGGCCGUUCCCGAGGCGGUGCCCUUGUCUGAGGCCGUUCCCGAUGCCGUUCCCAAUGCCGUGACCUGGCCAUCGCCACAGCCUGCUCCUUACUGGCUCCCCGAUUGGCAGGUUCCGUUCGGGCCACUCAAAUGGCGAAUUCCUCCCUGGCCGUCUGCACAACGAGAAUGGACUGAUCCACCGUGGCCACCUGAACUGCCUGGUCCCUCGUGGUCCCCUGAACUUUCGGGUCCA
ensembl:lncRNA